AGAGGUCAGUGGCAGAUAGCUUAGCAAGGAUCGUUGGACCAUCGCCGAUUUGAGGCCUUGUAUGCCUACUUGGUUUCGGCCUUGUAGGUGUACGGCCGUUUGUCGGCGUCCCGGGUCCAUAAAGCUAGGUUCUGAGUUCAGGGCGUGACAGGCCUUUCUCGGUCAAAAACAUGAGGAACAGGGGAAACAUGGGAUGGGUUCCUACGGUGUCUUUAGACCCAGAAAUUAAAGGCAAAUAAACGUGACUAUCCGUUUUUCUUCAGUUCUACAAGGCACAAGCCAUUUGAGUUCUCACCGUUCAUUGCUAGGAUAAUAAGCAGUAUUUGCGGCAAUCAUGUCAUCAUUGUGUUCUUUAGUUUUCUCACCACUAAUUCUGAUAAAACGACACUCAACAUGCUAAACAGAUUAACCCCCAAAUCGCGUUCUAUGUGUUACAUAUAAAAGAUAAUCCAAGGAUUAUCACCUUAAAAUCACUUUCUAUUUGUUUGUCAUAGGUGGGGGUUUUUUUUUCCACCAAUGCUGGAUUUAUCCACUUGAGUAAAAA